CUGACUCUCGGUGGAAUCCGUGCUUGAAGCUGUGGAGACGAAGGCCAGCGCCUGGCCGGGCCCCGGGGGAGGCGCGCUGUCCCCGAGGUUAGAAUUUACUAGAAAUGUCAUCCAGAGCUAAAGAACCUGAUGCAGCGGCCGGGCUGCCCUCCCUGGGACCCUAAAGGACAAAGCGGCCUGUGGCACAGCCCAAGUCUCCCCACCAGUGGAUGAUAAAGAAAAGGCAUGGUGCCAGGAUCACGCUGCUCUGUAACGUGAGCGUUGGCCUCUCCAGAUGCUGCCACCAGGGGCCACGGGUGGAGGGAGAGGCCCGCACAUCCUGAGAGCACCGGCUGGGUCAGGCCUGCAGGAUCCCGACGGGCACGCGGCUCUUGCUGCUGCCCCGGGCCCAGGGCUCUCCUGUGGCGGUGGCGACACAGCCCGGCCACCACAGUUGGAGCUGUUGACCAUGACAUGGAGGGCAUCACGAGCCUGCCCGGCCUUCCGCACCAUGCUCGCCCCCCAGCAGAACUGCCCAGCUGCAUGGCUGCCGGCUUGAGGCACUCGUCAGAGAGACUGACAAUGCGCCCAGACUCAGUUGCACUUGGCAGAAGUCUGCCUGUGUUUGGAAAAGAGGUUGAAGAGCCUGUUUCCUCUGGGAUCCUGGACAUGUCUGCACGGCAGAGCCUGCACUGGUGGGAACAGCGCUCACGAACACCAGUGCUGGGACCAGGUGCCUAGGUUCUGGUCCCUGCUUGGACCCACUCGGCUGUGACAGCAGGUAAGUCACUUAACCUGUCCGUGUGCUGCUGCACGUGACGCUGUGAUAACAAAGUCGGCCUCGGUGUGACAGGAAGGUCAGAUGACAUAUGUGAAUGGCACAGCACCUGGCACAUAGCUGUAACCAUCUCACCCUUACAGAUAUGGCUUGGGGCCCCUUCCACAGGCUACAGCUUGUUAAAGAAAAAUAAAUGGGCUGUUUGAGAGCUAAGUUUAAAUGACAGUUCCACUUAGAUCACUAGUGACUUGGAAAAAACAAACUUCAGUUUCUUGAGGCAUGCGACUCAGGGCCUGGUUGCCCCAAGUGGUCUCCCACGCCCAGAAGUGGGGGUGCAGCCUGCACGGCAGUCUCCCUGCUCCCCACAGAUGGUGGCUGUGAUCUCGUCAAGGGACUCAUCUUCCUCCUUAAAAACCAUGCCCGGCACUCACGUAAGGGUCUCAGUGUACACAUUUCAUGUCAGGCGUGGGUUGCGUCCCAUUUCUGCCCAGAGCGCGUGACCUGAUCUAAUCUCAGAGAACAUGCCGUUGUCAGGAGGGCACCACACAGGACCCAGGCCAUGGACUCGGCUGUUCACAAGAACUUGCUGUGGAGAUGAGGGUGAACACAGAGAGGACACGUGUGUGCACAUGCGUCAGACACGAAGGAGGGAAGCCAAGCUCGGGGGUGAGGACAACCAGAGGAUGUGACAUGUUCUGAAGGCCCUGCUCUCGGUCACGGUCCUGGGGUGGCUGGCCAGGCUGAGCGGCUGGGGUGCGGUUUACCCCGGGGACAGGAAGGCACGAGCUGCUGCCCGGCAGUGGGCGUCUGGGUCCCCGGGGCGGCACGGACGCUGGUGCCGCUCAGCAGGCUCUUAUCUGGCAGCUUGGCUGCCUUCCCAGCGGCCAAGGGGCCAGCCGCCAAGCAGGCGGCAUUCCCGCAUGGUGACCGCAGGCCUAAACCCGGCGGCUGUCAGCACACGGGGGUGCCUGACGCUUCACCGGCCAUAGCUGCCUCGGACCUCAAGUUUGCAGGGACAUAAUAAAAACACAGGUUUUUACGAGAAGGUAACUUGUAGGAGAGCUGAGCUACCUAUUUAAACACCUCCUGUUUCUCUGAAACUCAUGUGAAAACUUUUUGAUCCUAAGAUCAAUCGCUACUUAAACACUUCAAGAAGCUUUGUGCCCUCGACCCCAGCUCCUGCCAAAUCCAACCAGUUUUAUAGAAUUUUCUUAGGAUGCACUCAGGAGAAGCAACUAUCCAAGCUGAUGCUAGUUUGGUAGAAGCCAUUUUAACCCUAAUUCAUAUGAAUUUAGAAGUAAUCCCCAAACAAUCUUACUCAAUGGGUCCAAAGGUCCAACCAGCUUAUUAUUUUAUAUUCUUUUAAAAAUAAAUUCAGAAGAACGCUUAGCAUCCACAGGGGGAACUUGACUCCUCACCCAAACUGCUCCAAAGCGGGAGGUUCCGCUGGCUUUCGCCCUGGAGACAGCGGCGCGGCCUCGGGGCGCCUGUGAACACCAGCGGGGGCUGGCAGCGCGGUCGCCUGCAGGGCGGCUGGCGGGGGGCACCGGUGGGUAUUAAACGGCCACUUUGG